rnacentral:rRNA from 1 species
UGGGGAAUCUUGCACAAUGGGGGAAACCCUGAUGCAGCGACGCCGCGUGAGCGAUGAAGGUUUUCGAAUCGUAAAGCUCUGUCCUAUGGGAAGAUAAUGACGGUACCAUGGGAGGAAGCCCCGGCUAACUGCGUGCCAGCAGCCGCGGUAAUACGUAGGGGGCGAGCGUUGUCCGGAAUUACUGGGCGUAAAGGGUUCGCAGGCGGCAUGGCAAGUCCGAUGUAAAAGGCGAAGGCUCAACCUUCGUAAGCAUCGGAAACUGUCAAGCUUGAGUGAAGGAGAGGCAAGUGGAAUUCCUAGUGUAGCGGUGGAAUGCGUAGAUAUUAGGAGGAAUACCGGUGGCGAAGGCGACUUGCUGGACUUCAACUGACGCUGAGGAACGAAAGCGUGGGUAGCAAACAGG